ACCUCAUUAUAUGUAUUCCAGGUCAGAAUGGACACAAUUACAUUUCCAUUUUAUUAUGAAUGCAAUUUUUUCUUACUUAGUAUUUACUUAUUUUCUGAUUAUUUUUCAGGUAUUUUUUUUCACUUUUUAUGUAAGGGCAUUCUAUCCCUUAGCUUUAUCAAUUACAGAUUUAUAUAUAUUUCUAUGUUUACCCAAGCAAGGCAAACCUCACAGUUGACGGUGCUGUCACUGAAAAAUGAAAAUAUCAUAAUCAGUAUAGUACGGAGAUGAGGUAUUGGUUUGCUGUGCAUUGCUUUCCAGGUUAAUUAAAUAUUUCCUUCCAACGAAUCUAUUUGUGUGUGAUAAAGAGUUGUUGACGAUGUUAAAACAAAAGUGUUCAAGACAUUGCAGGUUGAUACAACUUAUUCAUGAUACGGGACCAAUACUAUAAAUGUGUAUUUUGUAGCCGUUGUUUACAUGUACAUGUACUUGCAAUAUAUAUAUAUAUAUAACAUGAGGCUUUUAUCAAUAGUCGCUGUUUCCAGUAGUAUUGUUCUUAAGGUAUGUGGAUAUGCAUGAAAUGCAAAGUUGUAUACAUGUACUUGUAGAUUCAGUGGCCAAAUAAACUCAUUUUUGCAAUGAU
rnacentral:misc_RNA from 1 species